rnacentral:lncRNA from 1 species
GUAGCUUCCUUGUCGUGUGGCCUCAGUCCUUCGCCGUCCCUCGCCGUCCUUCGCCAUCGCACGCCACCGCACCCCAUCUCUCGAAAUCUGCAGACAUCUUGAUUUUUCCCACGCUGUCUGUCAGGUCUCCGCCGCCACUCGACGCCAGGGCGCCGGGCCUUGUGGGCUGUGCUGCACCUCGGACGGCUUCGCACCAGCCAGCGCCCUCUCUCUCCUGCAGCACUCUGAUCUGCACCCCCUGAGGGGCUUCCACUGUCCGCGGGGUGAGAAUGCCCCUGGGAGUGUCACAUGACUGCCGCCCCAUGUGUGUGAGAGGCGUCCUCUGGGAGAGCAUGGAUCCUGAGGUCCCAGGAACAUCCCGAGAGCCAAGUUCCCAGAUGCCAGCCAAGGGCCAUCUGACCUGUUUUGAAUCUCAAUUUCCUGAUACAGAAAACAAAGGAUUGUCAGCUGACCUCUGUCCUGUGUGCCCAGUGGCCCCAGGUGACGUGUCUUCAAGAAGAGGCUGAGCUGCGGUGCUUGUAAGGCAGGGUCUCAUUCUGUCACCCAGGCUGGAGUGCAGUGGUGCAAUGAUGGCUCACUGCAGCCUCGACCUGGGCUCAAGUGAUCCUCCACCUCAGCUUCCUGAGUAGCUGGGACCACAGAGUCAUGUGCUGUUCCUGGGGCUUGGAUGAUGUAGGGGAAGCAAGGUGAAAGUGGUAUCCCGUGGUUCCACGUUCUGUCCUGCUGUGGGGCUGUCCCUCACAUGCUUUCAGUGGCUGUUGCAGAGGAAGAGCCUCCGGAAAUCUGCGUGGGUCUCAGCCUUAGAUCCAAGGACAGUCCAAGGAAGUCCUAAGACCAUGGAGUUGGUGAUCUGGGAUCUGGGUUUGCUGAUAUUUCUCACCGUGAAUCUCUUGGUGGUGUUUGUGGGCACGAGAGGGGCAGAGAAUGGAGAGUGAGGCUACCACAUGAAGCGUCACCAGAGCUGCUCCCUGCUGCCUGCUCAGAGCACCCCGGAUCCACUGUUCAAUCUGCACAAGAUUCGGGGUCCAGACAUGGGAGACUUCAGCUGCCUCAGAGGACCGUGGACAGGGAAGGCCAGCCUCGCAUCCCUCUGUCCAUGCCUGGAAUGACUUUAAUAACCAAGAGUUUUAUUUUUGAAUUUGUAGCUGUCGUUCACUUUUUACCCACCCAUUCAAUAAACCUUACAGAAUUGC